rnacentral:SRP_RNA from 1 species
GCCGGGCGAGGUGGCGGGUGCCUGUGGUCCCAGCUACUCGGGAGGCUGAGGCAGGAGAAUGGUGUGAACCCGGGNGGUGGAGCUUGCAGUGAGCUGAGAUCGCGCCACUGCACUCCAGCCUUGGGGCAGAGCAAGACUCUGUUCAAAAAAAAAAAAUUUAAAUUGCCAAAAUUUUAUGUAUAUAUAUUUUUUUAUGAGCAAAAAUUUUUUAAAUUGCACAAAAUUGUGUGUGUGUGUGUAUAUAUAUAUAUUUUUUUCUUUUUUUUUGAGACGGAGUCUUUGCUCUGUCCCCAAGGCUCGGGAUCGCCGUGGUGCGAUCUCAGCUCACUGCAAGCUCCGCCUCCCGGGUUGACGCCAUUCUCCUGCCUCAG